UGAAAAUGGUCUGAACUUGCCUAAUCCUUCUCUAUGGAAGAGAUCAUGUGAAAGCAUACAUAAUUAACCUAUUCCUGUUCGAGAUAGGCUGUUGUCUUAUUUGUUCAUGUAUAUGUUUAUCCAAAUGCCUAUUGUUUGGUUUGUAAAAAGUUUACAUUGGUGAAGGUAGUAUUACUUUUUUGUUGUCAUCAUCAGAUAGGCUCUGCUUCGUUAGGUACAGUCACAAUGAUAAUCUGCAGCUUCUGGAACGGUUAUCAAGUUUUCUGGACAUACAUAUAUGUAAAUGCUUCCACAGAUGCUAAUAUUGUGUCGUGAUUUUAGUGAAUUUUGCACCAUGGUGAAGAAGAUAUAUAUCUACUCAACCGAGGAAGCGAAGAGGCUGUCGCCCAAGAUAAAGCUUCCCAUGGCAGAGGUCAAAUCUGGGAAGGUCCUGUCUGAUGCAGCUGUUGGCACUGAAGAACAGUCUUCAACCGUUGGAUCUGGUUACUGACGGAGUUUUGCUAAUGUUGGAGUUGCAAUAAGGUUGAAAGUGCUCCGGAUAAUGGAGAUGAAACCAACAGUUGACCAGCAAUUUUGUUCCAUGCCGGUGAGGCAAAAGUGGUGGUUUUUCGUUCACGUAAUAAUAAUUUUCUCCGGGAGAGUGGUGAUAAGAAUCCGUUAUAGUAUUGUUUGUUUUUGUCAGGAGAAUCUCAUGAUGUUUUGAUUGUUUGGAUCUGAGUUAGGUCUCUGUGUGUACAACAAGUUGUUUAUGUAUAUAUGAUACCUCUUUGUUUCCCCUUGAAAUCUUCUGUUUUGUUUAAUCUUCUUUCUCUACUGUUUGUGAUGACACUGAACCCAAAACUUUUCAUUUUGAACUAAUGCAAAGGUUGGGUGGUAUUCUAGUUAUGAAAGCCGAACCGGCCCAAGAAAACCCCCACUUUAUUCAACUGCAACGUGUCUUCAUCCUAACAGCAAUGUGCAAUACAUAGUGUGCACGUUAGACAUUUCCCGAAUCUAUACGGCAUAUAAAAGAGAAUUUUAACGGUUAUUCUUUUUCGCCAUUUUUCUCUCUUUUUCUACCAACUCCCCCCCCCCCCCCCUGUUGAUAUUUUCUAAACUAUUGUUCAAUUUUAUUCGCGAAAAUAUAUUCAACAAUCAUAUUAAAUUAAAAAAAUCAUGUCGAGAUUAAUAUGGUAUGAAAAUCAUUACAAAUAAUUUUUAAACAAAUAAGUUAUGAAAAAUUUAAAAUAUUUUACUUUCUCUCUUUAUUAAAAUUUUAAAACAUUUUAUUUUAUCUCUCAUACCUCUUAAUAUUGAACAUAUGAUUUUUUUUCUCUUCUUUAAUAUUAAUUUUAUUUCAAUUUCUAUUUUUGUUAGAUAUCAAUUUUUGAAUUUAUUUUAUAUAUUGUAUGCAUAUAUAUAUAUAUCUAUAUAGAGGAGAGAUCAAAUGAAAACAUUCAUUUAUGUGUUAACUAGGAACCAAUCUGAGCCCUUCAUUUUAAAAAAUCUAUGGAGAAGAUUAAUUGAUAAGACUUAAUAUCUAAUUAAAUGUUUUCUACGCAUUUUUUGUGGGAUCUUUCAAAUCAAUUAACCGUCCCUUAUUUAGUGGGAUCAUUUUAGUUUUAAUUGUGUAAAAUUAUUUUAAUAUUUAUCUAUUUCUCUCUCUCUCUAUUUAUUAUUUUUAUUUUCAAAAUAUCAGAGAGUUGUCGGUAUUAUAUUUUGGACGAGAUUGAAUUUUAAUAAAUUUGGUUAAAAUGCUUUUUAUGGUUAGUUAGGUGCUUAUUUUAACAUAAUUAAGUGCUUAUUUAAGUGUAUUCUGAUUGUGGUCAUGUGCUAAUUAAUUAAACUCUUGUAAUUAAUUAAAAAGGUUAAUAAUUAAAAUCAACAGAAGACGAAAAUAUUUAGCACUUAAUUUUGAUGUAAUUAGCAAUUAAAAUUAAGGUAAUUAGCACUUAUAUUAAUAUACAUAUAUAUAGAUGCUAGCAAUAACUUAAAAUAUUUCGACAAAUACUAACUUAAAAAUUCAUUACUAACUUUGUGGUGGGUCAUCUCCAUGUACCAUGCUCAUGUGUUUAAUAAGAUAUCUCCUCUUUCCCUCAAAAAAAAAAAAAAAAUUCAUUACGUAUAACAAAUAAAAUUAUUUUGUUGAUCUCACUAACUUAAAAAAUGUGAUCUUAAAAUUCACUAACUUUAAUUUUAUCCAAAUAUUUACACAUGCAAUACUAACAUUUUAAUAAAGUCCCAAGUGCGUGAAUAUUGUAGACAGCAAAUGGGGGUUGCCUUAGCAUUAUCAUUAUUAUUUUCUCUAUUUAAUGAAUUAAAAAAAAUCUGCUCAUUCUUGAGAGAUAGAGUGCAGAAAUGCCUGCAUAACCAUAGAAGAACAUAUUUGAUUUACAUAAAUAAGAUAUUAUAAAUUUACAAAUGUUAUUAAUUAAAAUCAAGAUAAUUAGAACUUAUUUAGUAUUGAAUUGUGAGGAAAUAAGCAAUUAGAAAUAAGGUAAUUAGCAAUAACCAAAUGAAUGUAUUUGUAUUUGGGAAGUAUUAAUUUGUAACAGCAAAUGAAAUGCUUAAUUAUACUAAAUCAUGUUGAAUUCGUAUAUAUUGCAUGUUAAAAUCAUGCAAGGAUUAGUUUGUAUUGAAUAUUAAAUAAUUUAUGUGAAUCCUAUAUAAAAUCUCAUGGCUAAAUUUGAAAGAUUUGAUUUGCUAAAAUCAAAUCCUUAUUGUUGACCGAUUUUAGCAAUUAAAAAUAAAAAUCCAAGCCAUUUACUAUUUAAUCUGUACCGUUCAAUUAAUGAAGAUCAAUGAUCUAAAAUGGUUCCUAGUUAACACAUAAGGGUUGGUUUCUAUUAUAACCCAUCCCUAUAUAUAUAUAUNUUUUCCUAAAUGCAGAAUUUUGCAAUGUGAGCUUCUGUACAGGAGAACUGAGACUUACAGAUCCUAAAUGCCGAACUACUUUUGUCUGAAAAAAAGCAAACAUUAAUUAAAUAUAUUAAGAAAUUCAAAUUAAAAAUAAUCAGAUUAUUAAAAAUAAAUUUGACCUCAAAAUUGUUUGAAAAUGGUCUGAACUUGCCUAAUCCUUCUCUAUGGAAGAGAUCAUGUGAAAGCAUACAUAAUUAACCUAUUCCUGUUCGAGAUAGGCUGUUGUCUUAUUUGUUCAUGUAUAUGUUUAUCCAAAUGCCUAUUGUUUGGUUUGUAAAAAGUUUGCAUUGGUGAAGGUAGUAUUACUUUUUUGUUGUCAUCAUCAGAUAGGCUCUGCUUCGUUAGGUACAGUCACAAUGAUAAUCUGCAGCUUCUGGAACGGUUAUCAAGUUUUCUGGACAUACAUAUAUGUAAAUGCUUCCACAGAUGCUAAUAUUGUGUCGUGAUUUUAGUGAAUUUUGCACCAUGG
rnacentral:lncRNA from 1 species